UACGAAGGGGGCUAGCGUUGCUCGGAAUUACUGGGCGUAAAGGGCGCGUAGGCGGAUAUUUAAGUUGGGGGUGAAAGCCCGAGGCUCAACCUCGGAACUGCCUUCGAUACUGCGGGUCUCGAGUCCGGGAGAGGUGAGUGGAAUUCCUAGUGUAGAGGUGAAAUUCGUAGAUAUUAGGAAGAACACCAGUGGCGAAGGCGGCUCACUGGCCCGGUACUGACGCUGAGGCGCGAAAGCGUGGGGAGCAAACAGG
rnacentral:rRNA from 1 species